CAUCAUUGGCCCUUCUUUCCAGUAUGCAAUUAAUUGCAUAUUUAAAUCAAAAUUAUGAGAAGACAUUUGAGGACUAUGAGCUCUAAUUCUUCCAAUAAACUUAUGAACAAUUCCACUUUUCAGUUGCCCCUUCCAGGACAAUACAAGAACUAGCCACACUGGGUCUGCAUUCUUGCUAGCAGUGA